CUCCUGCCCUGCCCCCGGCGUCCUGUCGCGGCUCCUCACCCCUCGCGGCUUCAGACUCUUCACUCCCGCGAGGCCAGCGCUGGGUCCGCUGCAUCCACGCCGGGUGCCCCCAGCCCAGAGCGCACGGUUCGCCCCCCAUCGCUCUUCGCCUUCCCACCAGGACCUUCAGCAACCCCACUCCUGCCCCGCCCCUCCCUCGCCUUCUCCAACCAGCUCUGCGGGCACCUGCCACCACCUGCAUGCCCCUCUCCCGCUCCUUCGUGAACUCGCGCCAUUCUUGUCGCAGGAGGACACGGGAUCCCAGUGAUCACCUUGGGUCUACCCAGAUAACCUGGGAUAAUGUCCUCAUCUCAAGAUUACUUAAUCUCGGCUGCAAAAUCCCUUUUGCCAGGCAGAUUCCUUACCGCUGGGCCUUACCGCAAGGAAACCCACAAAGACCAUUGUUGUUGUUCAGUCACUCAGUCAUGUUUGACUCAUCUCACACGACUCUUCACCAUCUCCCAGAGCUUGCUCAAACUCAUGUGCACUGAGUCGGUGAUGCCAUCCAACCAUCCUGUCCUCUGUCAUCCUCUUUUCUUCCUGCCUUCAAUCUUCCCCAG
ensembl:lncRNA